rnacentral:rRNA from 1 species
AGUGAACGCUGGCGGUAGGCCUAACACAUGCCAGUCGAACGGCCGCACAGUAAGCUCUUGCUCUUACGGUUGGCGAGUGGCGGACGGGUGAGGCAUACAUCGGAAUCUACUUUUUCUUGGGGGAUUACGGAGGGAAACUUAUGCUAAUAGCGCAUACGACCUACGGGUGAAAGCAGGGGAUAUUCGGACCUUGCGCGAUUGAAUGAGCCGAUGUCGGAUUAGCUAGUUGGCGUGGUAAAGGCCCACCAAGGCGAGGAUCCGUAGCUGGUCUGAGAGGAUGAUCGGCCACACUGGAACUGAGACACGGUCCAGACUCCUACGGGAGGCAGCAGUGGGGAAUAUUGGACAAUGGGCGCAAGCCUGAUCCAGCCAUACCGCGUGGGUGAAGAAGGCCUUCGGGUUGUAAAGCCCUUUUGUUGGGAAAGAAAAGCAGCAGGUUAAUACCCCGCUGUUCUGACGGUACCCAAAGAAUAAGCACCGGCUAACUUCGUG